rnacentral:misc_RNA from 1 species
GAGUACCGGGUCUUCGGGCCCUACUCCCACCCUUUGUGUACCUACCGAUUUUUCGUUGCCUCGGCGGGGUCGAUCCCCAGGGCCCACCGGCCCUGUGGGGGACCCGCCGGGGGGACACGCCUAAACUCUUGUCAACAGUGACGUCUGAGAAAAAACAAACUAGUCAAAACUUUCAACAACGGAUCUCUUGGUUCU